rnacentral:rRNA from 1 species
CCUACGGGUGGCUGCAGUGGGGAAUAUUGGGCAAUGGAGGAAACUCUGACCCAGCAACGCCGCGUGAAUGAUGAAGGUCUUCGGAUUGUAAAGUUCUUUUCUAAGGGAAGAAGAAAGUGACAGUACCUUAGGAAUAAGCCUCGCCCAACUACGUGCCAGCAGCCGCGGUAAGACGUUGGAGGCGAGCGUUGUGCGGAAUGACUGGGGGUAAAUGGUGCGUAGGUGGUUAGGCAAGUUAGUAGCUAAACUCCAGGGGUCAAACUUGGAACUACUACUGAAACUGGUGGACUUGAGUGGGAGAGAGGCAAGCGGAAUGCGUGGGGUAGCGGUGAAAUGCGUAGAUAUUAGGCAGAACACCAGUGGCGAAGGCGGGUUGCUGGCCUGAAACUGACACUGAGGCACGAAAGCGUGGGGAGCAAACAGGAUUAGAUACCCUUGUAGUC